rnacentral:rRNA from 1 species
UGUUGGGUGGUGCCUUGGGAGGAGCCUAUAUUAGAUUAGCUUGUUGGUGAGGUAAAGGCUUACCAAGGCGACGAUCUAUAACUGUUCUGAGAGGAAGAUCAGUCACACUGGAACUGAGACACGGUCCAGACUCAUACGGGAGGCAGCAGUGGGGAAUAUUGGACAAUGGGGGAAACCCUGAUCCAGCGAUGCCGCGUGUGUGAAGAAGGCCCGAGGGUUGUAAAGCACUUUAAGCGUGGAAGAAGUGUAUUGGUCGAAUAAGCCGAUGCAUUGACGUUACACGCAGAAUAAGCACCGGCUAACUCUGUGCCAGCAGCCGCGGUAAUACAGAGGGUGCGAGCGUUAAUCGGAAUGACUGGGCGUAAAGGGCACGUAGGCGGAGGCAAAAGUUAGAUGUUAAAUACCAGGGCUUAACCUUGGAGCGCCACUUAAUACUAUGUCUCUAGAGUACAGUAGAGGGUAGUGGAAUUUCCGGUGUAGCGGUGAAAUGCGUAGAUAUCGGAAGGAACACCAGUUGCGAAGGCGGCUACCUGGACUGAUACUGACGCUGAGGUGCGAAAGCGUGGGGAGCGAACAGGAUUAGAUACCCUGGUAGUCCACGCCGUAAACGAUGAGUACUAGCUGUUGGAAGGCGACGACCUUUUAGUGGCGCAGUUAACGCAAUAAGUACUCCGCCUGGGGAUUACGGCCGCAAGGCUAAAACUCAAAGGAAUUGACGGGGGCCCGCACAAGCGGUGGAGCAUGUGGUUUAAUUCGAUGCAACGCGAAGAACCUUACCUACUCUUGACAUCUGCUGAAGCUUUGAGAGAUCGAAGUGUGCCCGAAAGGGAACAGCAUGACAGGUGCUGCAUGGCUGUCGUCAGCUCGUGUUGUGAGAUGUUGGGUUAAGUCCCGUAACGAGCGCAACCCCUGUCCUUAGUUGCUAGUUGUACUUCGGUGCAGCGCACUCUAAGGAGACUGCCGGUGAUAAACCGGAGGAAGGUGGGGAUGACGUCAAGUCAUCAUGGCCUUUAUGAGUAGGGCAACACACGUGCUACAAUGGUACGUACAGAGGGCAGCGAAGCGGCGACGUGGAGCAAAUCCUUUAAAGCGUAUCGUAGUCCGGAUUGUAGUCUGCAACUCGACUACAUGAAGUCGGAAUCGCUAGUAAUCGCGAAUCAGAAUGUCGCGGUGAAUACGUUCCCGGGCCUUGUACACACCGCCCGUCACACCAUGGAAGUGGGUUGUACCAGAAGUAGGUAGGAUAACCGUAAGGAGUCCGCUUACCACGGUAUGAUUCAUGACUAGGGUGAAGUCGGAACAAGGUA